CGGAAGGGGUGGAGCCAGGAUCCACCCCUUCCCAUAUCUCAUUUAAGGGUUGGCAGUGGAGAAAAGGCUGUUUUGCUGAAGAUCCCUGUGUACCUGAGGCCUUCUGAAGAGCUGACUGGAGAAAGGAAGAGGAUAAAUGGCAUAAAACUGGCCAACGUCAGAGGAUGUCCUACAUCAAGUUACAUUCCUAGGUUAUUUGUACUGCCUGAAAAGAGUAAAAAUCUCAUUAAAAGAGAAAAGGAGCAAGCUAUUAUUUUUCUGGAAUAUCCCAACAUAGGCUUAGUGCCAAGCAUGCUGGUGUUGAAGAGGAGAAGCUGUUCUACAGCUGUUCUCAACAUGAGGAAAAACAAGUAAGAGCCUUUCAGAAAUGCCAUCAUGAAGUGGUAUGGGCAACGGCUGGUAGCAGCAGGAGAGGGAGGAACAAAAAAGAAGUUUUGUGAUGAGAAGGCCCAAACUGUGUACAUUUCUGACCACAUUCUUAUUCAGGCUGCAGAAGAACUGUUACUUGGAAAGAAGAAAAAGUGAUUGAUUUCAGUCAUUCAUUCUUAUCCUUAGCAGGCCAGGCGAAGCUGCACCGGGGACACUCACUUGUGUAGGUGGCUUAGCUAAAAGUGGAAACUCAUAUACCAUAUUACAUCUGUAUCCUAGAUAUUACUCCUUAAUACACUAAGGAUGGCAGUUAGAGAAAUGUAAUUUCUUUAUAAGACAACUCGUUCUUUUUUAUAUCUAUUGUCGUGUUGCUUUUGCAAAAUAACUGUGGAGUUUUUUUUAACCCUUUCACAUAAGAUACCUCCCAUUAAAUACACUGUGCUGCCAUCACCCAUUAAUAUUUCUUCUAAACCAGCAACACUAAUGCAGUGGUUGAUGCAGAGGACUACACUGUUGAGUAUUAGUUCUCUUUAAGCACUCUGAACUAGCCAGGCACCCAUGGCUACUUACGAAGGAUUACAUCUAUGUGACACUUCUUUCCAUCUUACCACCUCUCUCCUGGUUGCUGCCUCACCAAGUGUGCCAAUGCAAAAGGAAUAAAGCUAUAUUAGUGCUAUAAUACAGAGGAAGCAUUGGGAAAGCAGAAGACAGUGCUCACCAACUGCCCCAUUAAGAAUGAGUACCCAGGAUUCAUGGGACAAACAAAAGAUGAAGUUUGACAUGAGUGAAGGGACAAACCACUCUGGAGCAAAUAGUGAUAUCAUAAUGACUGUAAAGUUAAGCUGUCAAUAAAUCCUUGACAGGGUUUUAGAGAAUAACUGAAACAGUCCAUGUUCAUCAAAAUGGGAUGAAUUAGAAGAAAAGCAAUGAAGAGAAACUUGACCAGAAUUUAAGGAAGAAGAGGCUUCAUUAUGAAGAACUGGAAACUAGUAUUUUAUCUGCUCUCCCAGAUGUUGACAUUUUACAAUACUGGACAAGAUCUUCAAAUGCUAAAUCCAUGAUAGCAGGCUUUAAUGGGAGAUAACAUACAAAAGUAGUGUGAAAUCUAAAUCACUUUUUUGUCUUCAGAAAUACCAUCCAUUAUGGGAGAAAGCAGACAAAAUUCCCUGUAUCAAUGAAGCUAGCAGAUUGUCCUAGCAACAACACCUGAAGAAAAUUCAGAAUUACAAGCAACCAAGCUGUCAUCACAGCACUUGUCUCGGGUCAGAAUUCCAGGAUAAUUUGUCAUACAGUGGCAUUGAGUUUGCUUCAAUACUGUUAAGUUAGUGGGGAUGUCAACAGAAUUUUAAUUUGAUAGGUGCAUGUGUAUAUAUGCAUACAAGUGUACCUACCUAGUCAUAAAAGACUAAAAAGGGGCUUAGGAAAAGGAUAUAGAGAAACAUUUCAUUAAUGUUUUUUUUUAAUGUAAUCUUACAUUACUGUUCUCAAAUGAGAAAAAUAUACUGCUUUUACACUCUGGACAACAGGGAAGAAACAAGCAAUCAAGCAAACAAAAAUAUUUGCUUGAGAACACUCUUGUAAAUCCUUGCUUUCAGCUUUUUGGACUCAACCCAAACUGAAACCUCCCACUUCCUUUCUCUGUGAGCCUGGAGACGGAGAGCAAAACCCCCCACUGAAGGCCCUGGCACAAGUACCUGACAAGAUGAGAGCUUUGUAAUAUAUCUGAAUGCUGAUUAUAUGUCCUAAGAAGCUUUUACAUGUUGUAAAGAAGGUGUUGUGACAAGUUUGCAGGAGGUUUGCAGUUACUUCUGUCACAAUAUGAUGACACUGUAUAACAAUUGAGACAAUAACAGAGGAAGGUUGAAGGGCGGUUCAUAAAAAUCUGGAGAAGUUGGACUGUGCAAUCCCCAUGGUACAUGCUACACUGGAGUUAAUAACUCUGGAUUGCACCUUAGCUAAAAUACUUGCAUAACCUUAUUUUUCAUUCCCAUUGCUUGAUUUUAGAUUAGAUUUCAUUUUAAAUGUAUGCCUAUAAUUCAUAGUCUAAGUAUAAACUACUAUAUUGCAUAUAUUCUUAUUUAUGCUGCAGUGUAAUAAAGAGCUGUUGUCUGGCAUAGCUGAUUGAAAUAGAAUACACCAUAAAUUUAAAAUGCUUGCAUCUACUGUGACACUUAAGGUGCUUGCAUUAUGCUGAAGAAGUUACAGAAGUCAUAAACAGCACUUUAAAAGCCUCUCUACUUUUAACCAUGGAAAUUAUCUGAUGCAUAAAAGAAUAAAAUUUCACUAUUUAAAUAUAAAUUUCUAAAAGUCCUCAUUUCCAAAAAACUAUCAUUGAUUUCACUGUAGCCAAAUGGCUACUGGCCUUAAUGACUUUCACUAGAAGCUUCCUGGAGUAGUUCAAAAGCAAAAAAAUAUAAACACAGGCACUUGGCAGGUCAAGUCUUUCCAUUCAUUUUCUGCUGUUUCUCACACUCACGUCAGUUUUGCCACAUUUAUUAAGAAGACUUUUCACAUAUAUAUUCAACAGCUGCUUAUGAUACAUAUUAUUAUGCAAUGCAAAUUAUACUCCUUCUCAUCAAAGACAACACUCCUCUAAUACCAGGGUGAGGUAGAGAGGCAGGAUAACAAGGCAUAACAGUCCUGGUAUUCGGUCUAAUGUCUUAAAUGGAAGGGCAUCUUCUCAAGCAAUCUUAUGUGGAAGACUUUCUUACCUUCAACAUAAACAUAGCCCUAAAAAUAACAUUCCUCCACAGACAAGCACACUCUCCAAGUCAUGUGAAACCCAGCAAACACACAUUCCUGAAGCUCACAAGUAAUCCAAACUAAUCCCAAGCCUCUAGAUAUCCAGGCAACCAUACUGAAAUAUGAGAAAAUGCAUUCACUUCAUCUGAUCUGAGGCUUUGUUGCAAAUUCAAAUGUCUACAUAACACAGUACAACUUCAUGCUCUUGGUCUCGUUGAUUUCCUGCAUACAAGGUUCCCCUAACCCUGAUACCGAAGACCAAGGAAAAGUCCCCUAAGUUUAACUUCUAGGACACUUAUGUUAUCAGUGCUAUUCAUAAGUACUAUCUCAAAUUCUGACAUGAAUUUGAGAAUUGGGUCGUUAAGAGGAAGAAAUUAUGUGGGAAAUACUAUUCUCCCUGUUCAAUGAAAUGAGUCAAAUUUAGAAGAUACUGUGUAUUUCCCUUCUGAAAGCCUCUUAUUCACCCUAAAAUUCCAUAGUAACCAAGAGAAUACUCCUUACAUCAACAAGACUUCAAUCCCAGUAAAAGCCCUCUUUCUAUUUUCCAGAAAUCAAGUUUUCAAAUUACUGUCUGAUUCAUUAUACUAAGCAAGACCAAAAUCCUAACCGUAGUUAUUGCUUGAUGCAG
ensembl:lncRNA